rnacentral:lncRNA from 10 species
UUACUGUUGAGUGAUGGUAUAAGAUUCAAGUUAACAGUCUUUCCAUUGUUUCUCUUGUCAUGAACUGAAGGUUCAGUGAAUUAAAGUAGGAUUUGUGUAGUCACUUCAUUGUAUGUAUCAAGUUCUGCCUUUAAAACUUCAGUUUUCUCCAGGAUCAAUCAGUGUGGUAAUUUCAAAUUUCAUACUUUAAAAAUUGAGCUUUAGAACGGGCAAAAAUGCCUCCUAAACAUUUACAACUUCUGCUGUCUUUUGAAUUAAAAUAAAAACUGUGUCUCCCUACAGCCAAGGUAGGGCUCAACAAACGAAAGCUGAAAGGUGCUGGAAGCCUCCUGCACUUUGGGAAUAUACAGUCAGGAACAAUUGUCAGGAGUUCUGUAGUUGAUUCUGUAGGUUGGGAUUGCCAUAAGGUUGGUUAGAAAAAAGAUGUGCGAAAGCUUUCCUGAGGGUUUUUGCCCUUGCUUUCACAUGUCCCAUAAUUGAAAUUAAGAACUGCUGGCAACUGGUUAGUGACCAGUGUUGAAAUGGGAAAAUAUUACUGGCUUAUGCUUUUGCUUAUAGAUAUUGAAAUUUAAUAAAAUUUAACCAUAGUUACAUAUGAUUCUAUGAAAUUAGGUAGGCUCUUCAAGAAAAAUGUGAGCAAUGUAAGGCAGGGUAUUUUUGGGAGGGGGGUGCUUUAUUGUAUAGGCAAGCUCUCGAACAGUGUCUGAUAAUUAGUAGUGUCUGACAAUAUUUGCUGAAUGAGUGAACUCAUGGUAACAUAACUCCAGUAUGGCAGAUUGAUUCUUGGUGCUUUUUUUCCAGUGGCAAACUUUUAUAGAAAUUGGAGAGUUUC